rnacentral:rRNA from 1 species
UACAGAGGGGGCAAGCGUUGUUCGGAAUUACUGGGCGUAAAGGGCGCGUAGGCGGCCUGUUAAGUCGAACGUGAAAUCCCUGGGCUCAACCCAGGAACUGCGUCCGAUACUGGCAGGCUUGAAUUCGGGAGAGGGAUGCGGAAUUCCAGGUGUAGCGGUGAAAUGCGUAGAUAUCUGGAGGAACACCGGUGGCGAAGGCGGCAUCCUGGACCGAUAUUGACGCUGAGGCACGAAAGCGUGGGGAGCAAACAGG